GAUAUUUUUAAGGCGAUUUUUAUGUUGUAGAAUGCAGAUUGGUGGAUUUUGAAGGAAACCCAGAUUAGACCCACCAAAAAAAUUUAGACCCAAGAAAAAAAAAUUAGUCCAUCAAGAAGUGUGAGGAAGUUGGAAUUGUUGUCACCAGUACCAGCAGACAUAGAUAUUGCAAACUCAGUUGAACCAUUUCAUAUUUCUGAGAUUGCUAAGGACCUGAAUCUCAGUUCCAACCAUUAUAAUCUUUAUGGCAAAUACAAAGCCAAGGUGUUGUUACCCGCGCUUGAUGAGCUUCAAGGAUCUGAAGAUGGGUAUUAUGUGGUGGUCGGGGGAUUACACCGACUUCACUUGGAGAAGGCAAGUACGCUGCUACAGUUGGUCUGUGCCAAACUUUGGGUGCUCUUCUUGAUAAAAAGCUUUGACAUUGGAAUCUUGGCAGAUGGGACAAUUUUUGCUCAAAGGAAUAUAUGUCAGGCUAGCUGAGAAUAUAAGUGCCGUGAUUCUUGAUGAUUUAAAUUGCUUAUUCAUAAACGAGUUAACAAUUCAAGCUAUCGUUGUGAUUGGGAAUGGCUUUUUCAAUCUUUUCCUUUGUAAAUUUAGUUUGAAAGAAUUUCAAAUAUGAGAAUAAAUGCAUUAGUAUCAUUUUGACUUUUUA